GUCUACGGCCAUGCUACCCUGAACAGGCUGGAUCCCGUCUGAUUUUGGAAGCUAAGCAGGGUCGGGCCUGGUUAGUUCUUGGAUGGGAGACCACCUAGGAAGACUAGGUGCUGUAGGCG
rnacentral:rRNA from 1 species